rnacentral:rRNA from 1 species
UACGUAGGGUGCAAGCGUUAAUCGGAAUUACUGGGCGUAAAGCGUGCGCAGGCGGUUAUGCAAGACAGAUGUGAAAUCCCCGGGCUCAACCUGGGAACUGCAUUUGUGACUGCAUAGCUAGAGUGCGGCAGAGGGAGAUGGAAUUCCGCGUGUAGCAGUGAAAUGCGUAGAUAUGCGGAGGAACACCGGAUGGCGAAGGCAAUCUCCUGGGCCUGCACUGACGCUCAUGCACGAAAGCGUGGGGAGCAAACAGG